AUUCUCGUAGUUUAUUAGAACGUGGCUCUGAAGAAGCUAAGGUAAGAGAAUA
rnacentral:tRNA from 1 species